rnacentral:lncRNA from 1 species
CGGGACCCUGGGCACGCCUCCUACCCCUCAGAUCUCAGCAGGUCUUGGCGCUGCUCUUGGCAGUUUUACCCUUUUAGGACCUAGUUUCGGGCCGAGAUGCGGGGGAGACUCCUCAGGCCUAGUGGAUACACCUCUGUAGCCUCAAAAACACAUCAAAAAAAAAAAAAAUACAAGAAGUGCACUUUUAUGUUCAUGGAAUGUGGGACACAACCUAAAUUCUGAGACGCCUUGAGGGACUGGUGGACUGGGAAAGGCCCCAGGACUCUUCGGGAACACGGCCCCACGUGACUGUUGCUUUAGCUUGGAAACCGCUUCCUGGGCUAUCUCGCUGCCAAGCCGAGAUGCUGGGCCCUAGCCUCAAAGAUCAGGGUCCCUGCUGGGACCACGUCCUGGGCUCCCACCCCAGCCUCAGACCGUGGAAGGCGUGGUGCCGAGGCCCCCAGCUAACUGCUGACUACAAGUGGAAUUUCAGUUUGCAGACCAACGGGGACCUUCGUGUUAGGGAUGUCUUUGGCGUAAGGGAUUGUGGGUUUGCGGAAAACAGUUUUGAAUAAUGCAGAACUACAACCCUCCGAAGAAAGAACUUCAAAGAGCCUACUUGAAAUAAAUUCUCGAAAUUCGCUCAGCGCAACACUACCUAAAAAAGAGCCCAUUUGAAAUGAAAAUAUAACUUCAUAAGAAGGGAGAAAGCAUCCGAAAGAAAACAAAACAUAUAACUUGUACCUUAUAUUUGCCUAAAUUGGUAACUUGAACAUUCAGACCAGUGCUAACUAAUCCCACAGAGUAGCAUUUUAAAAUUACCGACUAAAACAAUUAUAAGCACAGACAAGGUCAGUAUUAUUUUA